ensembl:lncRNA
GUUUAAAUGGGUCUGAAUAUGUCACAUGUUCAGGAGUUUCGUUACAUGAUUAUGUAGUUUACACUUACAAAAAUAAAUAAAUACAUACAAACCGUAUUAAAUACAAUAUUGUACAAAUAAAAUUUUUUUUGGUUUCAUUUUUUGAUUUUAAUUUAAACUUUCUUUCCCGCCACUAAAAAUUCAAACCUCAACGGUCGCGAGGACAGUGAGGACAGCGGGUAUCACCUCAGGAUGGCGGAGAUGAUAAUUAGCGAUUAUUUCUGUAAAAAAGUUGGACAUUCUUAUUUCGAAUACACUCCUGAAUGAAAUGUUAACGUGAUUUAAGUAAUUUGGCGUCGUAAUCAGCGUUUGGGUGUAUAUGAAGGAUAUCUGAAGAUUACGAACUGCCCCAUCUUGUUGGUGAAGCGGCCCGUUGGGACAUUGAGGAAUCUGGUAAAAGUGAAGUGGCCCGCUGGGAUGUUGAGGGGUCUGUUAAAAAUCCUUCUUGCAAUUGAGCGGUACAACAUAAGAGAUUCAUCGGGAGACCAUGAUAUA